rnacentral:rRNA from 1 species
AGAACGAACGCUGGCGGCAUGCCUAAUACAUGCAAGUCGAACGAACUCUUCGGAGUUAGUGGCGCACGGGUGCGUAACGCGUGGGAAUCUGCCCCUUGGUUCGGAAUAACAGUUGGAAACGACUGCUAAUACCGGAUGAUGACGAAAGUCCAAAGAUUUAUCGCCAAGGGAUGAGCCCGCGUAGGAUUAGCUAGUUGGUGAGGUAAAGGCUCACCAAGGCAACGAUCCUUAGCUGGUCUGAGAGGAUGAUCAGCCACACUGGGACUGAGACACGGCCCAGACUCCUACGGGAGGCAGCAGUAGGGAAUAUUGGACAAUGGGCGCAAGCCUGAUCCAGCAAUGCCGCGUGAGUGAUGAAGGCCUUAGGGUUGUAAAGCUCUUUACCCGAGAUGAUAAUGACAGUAUCGGAGAAUAAGCCCCGGCUAACUCCGUGCCAGCAGCCGC